rnacentral:lncRNA from 1 species
CUGGGGCCCACCCUGCCCCAGAAUGACCUCAUCUUAACUAACUACAUCUUCAACGACCCUGUUUCCAUAUAAGAUCACAUUCUGAGGCACCAAACCCAAUCAGGACAGAGGACAAGGGAACCAGCUGAUACCAUUUGGGGAAGUCACAGAGAAGGGAGGAGAAUGGAUACGAUGCAGAAACCAAGCUUCGAGAAAGUGGAGUGACUUGCCCAAAGUCACACAGCUUUGGGAGGAUCUGAACCCAGUUGGUGUGUCUCCAGACCGAACUAUCUUAACUGCAAUAUUAUACUGUUUGUUAAUUCAGCAAAUCCAUGGCCCUCAGCCCUCUUUAAGUGAUACCUAAACAGACAACUAAGGGUAAACUUUUGGGUUGUGUUUUUCAUCGAAGGAUAACAUAUCUUACCAGGCUGGGACAAUAAAGAGCAAAUGAUUGUUAAUAUCAUAAUUUCUGUCUCCCCAGAAAUUAGCCAGUAUGUAUCAACCAAACAGAAUUGGCUAGCCAAACAAUUUCCUCAUUAUUACCAUACAAUGCAGCUU